rnacentral:pre_miRNA from 10 species
UAAUGAAAACUCUUUCAACUACAGGCUAAUACUGUUGCUAAUAUGCAACUCUGUUGUAUAAAAAUUGGAAUUGCACUUUAGCAAUGGUGAUGGACUGUCAGACAUGCAAAGAUGUGUAAG